GACGUAGGGGGCCAGCGUUGCUCGGAAUUACUGGGUGUAAAGGGUUCGUAGGCGGACAUUUAAGUCAGGGGUGAAAUCCCAGAGCUCAACUCUGGAACUGCCUUUGAUACUGGAUGUCUUGAGUGUGAGAGAGGUAUGUGGAACUCCGAGUGUAGAGGUGAAAUUCGUAGAUAUUCGGAAGAACACCAGUGGCGAAGGCGCAACAUAC
rnacentral:rRNA from 1 species